rnacentral:rRNA from 1 species
AUUGAACUCUGGCGGCAGGCCUCACACAUGCAAGUCGCGCGCGCGGCGGACGGGUGAGUAAUGUCUGGGAAACUGCCUGAUGGAGGGGGAUAACUACUGGAAACGGUAGCUAAUACCGCAUACCAUCAGAUGUGCCCAGAUGGGAUUAGCUGUUAGGUGGGGUAACGGCUCACCUAGUCGACGAUCCCUAGCGGGUCUGAGAGGAUGACCAGCAACACUGGAACGGAGACACGGUCUAGACUCCUACGGGAGGCAGCAGGGGGGAAUAGUGCACAAUGGGUGCAAGCAUGAUGCAGCCAUGCCGCGUGUGUGAAGAAGGCCGUCGGGUUGUAAAGCACUUUCAGCGGGGAGGCGUUACCCGCAGAAGAAGCACCGGCUAACUCCGUGCCAGCCGCCGCGGUAAUUC